rnacentral:lncRNA from 1 species
GAUUAGCACAAAAAUAAUCAAAUUCUUUAUCAUUUAAUCAUUUUUUUUAUUAUUUUUAUUUUUACCACAACCUUCUUUAAUGUGAAACUCAACGAAUAUUGGUUUCAAAUUUGGGCACAAGGCCAGCAGUUUCUAGGGAGAGGGUAAGUCAAUAAAAAUCAGUCAACUGAUUACUUAUUUUAUUGACUCCAAAAGAAUGAAAAGCAAAGUCGACCUUGGCAGAAUUUGAUCUCAGAAUGUAAAGAUAGAUGAAACGCUGCUAAGCAUUUUGCCUGGUGUGCUAAUGAUUCUGCCAGCUUGCCGCCUUAGACUCAUUAAUAUUGUCAAUGUUUUUUUAUAGACAUAGACAUCGUGCAUAGUUAAGAAGUUUGCAAAGGCACUUUAUUUCAUGUAGCUCCAUUCUACUCAGCUGAAAAUAACUACCAGAAGCAGCUAGGAGUUAACCCUCUGGUGGACUGGUGUCUCACCCAGGAGAGUGUCUUGUACUCUUAGUCACUCAUACAGUUAGGAAAUUGAUAUAAGGUUUGGUCCAACAAACCUAUAGGCUGGAGAAGAGACAUUUCAACUUUAGGUGUGGUUAGAAGUUUGUUUCCAAAACACAUGAUCCUGGUUUCAGUCCCACCACUUGAUACCAUGGGCAAGUCUCUUCUACUCUAGCCCUGGGCCAACCAAAACCUUGUGGUGUAGAUUCUAUAGACAGAAACUGAAAGUAACUUAUUGUGUGUGUGUGUGUGUGUGUGUGUGUGUGACCAUUUGACAACCAGUCUUGGUUUCUUUAUGCUUUCACAAUUUAGCGGUUCAACAAAAAGAGACCUACAGAAUAAGUGCUAGACUUGAAGAAAAAUAAGUGCUCGUGUCAGCUGGUUCAACCAAAUCCUUCAAGGUGUUACCUCUGCAUAGCAACAGUCUAAUGACUGAAACAAAUAAAAGAUAAAGAUACAUACAUACAUAGACAUACACAUACAUAGGUACUUAUUUACAACAAUUUCUCAUUUCUACAGUAGCAAGGAUUCGAAACCCAACCGCUAGAUACUCGGUCAAAUACCACGAAUUAAACCACCAUAGUUUCACGUGAUCAGUCUAUAAGUCGACCAAUCAUCAUGAAGCUAUGGCACUAUAUAGUUUUCUUGAAUGUUCUAAAAUUUAGCUUCUGGUCCCGUAUAAAAAAAGAAAAAGAAAUUUGGCGCACACUUUAGAGAGCAGAUAGCUAACGGACUGCCGAGGGCACAUAUCACCACAGAGAUUUGCGCAGAUAACCUCGUGUAUUUUUAACUGACUGCAUCUUGUCACUCAGCUUUCCACAUUUUCAGUGUAGUUUUCCUCUCCCCCAGCUGAUAAUUAUUCAUUUUGUUCACUGUAAAUAUCCAACACUAAAUAUCUUUAUGUUUGGCAAUAAAUAUUUCAGUUAAAUUUUCGAGAGUUUGCUCCAGUUAUUAUGUACGCAGCCAACGAAAUAUAUCUUUAUUGACCAGCUAAAUUCGAGCGGCGGCAAGGAGUUAGUGACACUACUAUGACAACCAAUAUCUUCAGAAAUGCAAUUCAAAGAAAAUAGCUGUAACUAGGAAUCGAAACUAGUGUUGUGAGCCAUCAAACUUUAAUGAUCUUAAUCACUGAUAUUCGUUUACUUUAUCGAUAACUCUCUGAUAGAUUUCCGGUUUGAGAUGAUAAGGGAAGUAAAUGAAGUGGUGCGAUGUGGGUUCGAUUCCCGGACCCAGAAUAAUUUAGAACAUCUUCAUAUAUCGCCUUUUACAGAGCACAAGCCCUUGCCUGGCUUCUUCUCUCCAGGUACCAGUUAUUCCACCUCCUCGAAGUAACUGAACUAGUUGAAUCCACCACUCUCACUAGGGAACUGUCAGUAAGAAGAUUGUUUAAUCACAUCAGUUGACACAAAUAACAAUGAAACUUCAAAACAAAAAGAACCUUGUUGUGUUCGUUUUGACUUGGCACAAAAAGCAGCCAAAUCCAAGGCUGUCUUAGCAGCUUUAUUAGGCUUCUGGCAAAUUAACGCACUAGGCUUUAUUGUAUUUGUACAUUGACAGUAAACCAUGGGUGCUUGAUUUACGGGGCAUCGGGAAAUUGCUUAGUGAACCAAGAAUUAAAGCAACACUGGUCAAGUUUCACUAGAAUAAUGGGUAUAGCUAUAGGUGGUAAAUUUUGAUACUUUCACCCGCACGAUUUUCACUAAGAAAAAAAAAUGUACGAGUUUUGUAUUAUUCCGAUCCCCCACUCAAAUUUGUUUCCUCAUAACUCUCUUUAAAAUAUUUUUGAAUGAAGUUUUGCAGAAAUAUGCUUUAUAGACAGUAGACUAAAUAACAAUGUUUUAAACAUAUCAAUCAGAAAGAAAUAAAAGUGAAAAUUGUUAUAGUUGCGGAAAUUGGAUGUAACGAAGUUAUGGAGUGGAGUAGAAAAGAGAAAAGAACGAUCCAAAAGUCCCCCAAAAGACUCUUAUGUCUUCAGUUUUAUUCACAUAAUUGUAAUCUACAUUCUCGAAAACUUAUCUCCGCAAAGUUUCGUUUAAAAGUACCCAAUUUUUCAGAAAGACAUGAGAAAAAGCUAAAACAAGAACAAAAAAAAAACAGUCUGGGGCACUAAUCUGUAGACAUGCCGCAUAAUGUCUUGAAAGAAAGUCGUAUAAACACGGUUGAAAAGGAUUUGAGAAAAGAUCUUCUCUUCAAGGCUGACCUGUGGCUAAAUAACAGUAAAAAUAAUUGUAGUAGGCUUGGGGGUAGCUUUAAAAACGUAUUUUACUAUUAUAGAUAACAAACGGCUUCCACUCGACCUUAUCACGCAGAAAAUUAUAUUUAUAUAUAUAUAUAUACUCGAUAUGUAAAUCAAGACAGCUCUGAAUGAAUUAAAUAAAAUAAUUAAAUACAAAACCAUAAAAAAAAACUACAUAGAGGAUACCAGAGUGUAUUUUUUUUCUAAGAUAAACGUUGUCUAUGAUGAUUGAUGAUAAGGAAAAAGGAAAAGAUAUGAAUAUUAAAUUACAUAUACAUGUGUGUCAGUAUGUAUGUAUGUGUGUGUGUGUGUAGGAAAUUAUCUUUGCUACUUUAUCACUCACUAUCUGUCUUCGUAUCUCACCACCCGUAUCUGUCUAUUUUUUUUCUUUUCGUUUAUCAUUCUACCCAUCUAAGAACAAGCUGUUUAUAUCCACGCAUUCAUCCAUCCGUAGCUAGCUAACUUUACGUCUACUAAUAAUUGCGCUUGCUUGAGAGACGGAGAGAGAAAGAAAAAGAAAGAAUUAUAAGUACUAAUCUGAUAGAAAAGGAGAAGGAGGGUGUAUGUACACUGAUAGGACAAGAAUUAGGGCUUCUAAUAUCUUUAUUAAAGGAUCAACCGAAAAUUCAAACACAUACAAUCACACAGACAUUAUAUAAAUAUAUAUAUAUACACACACCCGCCCACAAUGUUGGGACAUUUGAUAUCUCUCAAUUGUGAUGUGUCUUUUUUUUUCAUGUUAUUGUUAUUUAUUUCCCUCGCAGAUCAAGAAAUUUCUGUAUUUUUUUCUCACCCACCACACUCUGCAUUGCUUUAUUAUAAGUUCAAAGAAAUAACAGAAUUUAAUUAUCAGAAAUGUGCUCCUUUCGGCGAAUUUAAAACCCCAAUCUCGUUAGAUCUAUUUAUCCACCUUAUAUAUAUAUAUAUAUAUAUAUAUAUAUAUAUAUAUAUAUAUGUAUGUAUAACACGCAUUUCUUUCUCUUAUUCAUUCACCUGUAGUUUCUAAAAGACCUUAUGUCUUAAGUGAACAAAAUAUAAUCACACACGUGUGUGUGCGCGCGCACAUACACACACACACACACAUAUAUAUAUAUAUAUAUAUAUAUAUAUAAACAGUCAGGAGACACGAAAUACACGAAGAUGCUUUGAAUAACUCGAAACUAUGAGGCAUGACAUACAGAGAAAAAGACAGAUGAUUACGAUAAAUAUCCUGUGUGUAUUAAAACACCCAACGUACCCUGUGAACACUGUUGCAUAUGUUGUGUGUACUGAUACAGCCUUUACUUAAUAGUAGCAGACUUAUUACAGUUGUGAAAUGAAGCUACUUCAUAACACAUGGUUUCUAACAAUUGCCCAUACCUAUAUUUGUGUGUGCGUUAGACAGAAUGUUAUGUUACUGCAACAAUGUCAUCCCAUUAAGAAAGCCCUGUGCGAUCGAUGAUCGAUCGAUUGGACGAAUGCAGAGUGGAAGUAUGCAAACCUGUGACCGGAGACUGGGGGGAGGAAGUGACAACACAAUCAACAGAUAAUGUAGUGUGGAGAAACUUGCUUAAGCUUGAAACUAAUGGAAAUUAGUAUCUUCCUCUCCUUCAGUCACGCGUUACUAUCGAGCACACAUGCACGCGCGUGCACAAUAUGAAUAAAAAUGAAAGGAUACAAUGGAUAGUGAAAAUUCUAGAUUAUAUAUACAUUGUGAGUGAAUAAAUGAUGUGACAGUUAUUUAUUAUAAGUCUGCUUUGUAAAGAUUGAUCCGGGGUCAAAUAUGCAAAACACCAUAUAUUCGAGGAGGGAGACAGAUAAAUCAUUUUGGAGGAAUUGAGAUAACAGCAAAGUUUAACGUGCUUUGCAUUCCAGCAGAGAUCAAUACAGAACUAAAUCACACACACAUGCAUACAGAUACACCACAUUCACACACACUCAUAUACAUGCGCACAUGCCUGCACACAUAUAUAUACUAGCGCUCACUUAUGCACACACACACACAUAUACAUACAUACAUACCGAUAAGACAGGAUAGGCCAUAAUUAGUAUUAACGAUGUAUUUUAAAAUCAAAAUGAUCAUCAGAUGAUUAUAUAUAUAUAUAUCAUGAAUUAUUUGGGGUUAUACACAGAGUUUAUACAGUGCUAAAAUAAACGGAAAGGCAACUUGUGAUACACAGUAUAGAGGCAACAAGAGUUGGCCCUAAUGUGAUUUGAACUCAUAAAAAUGAGUCAUCGAUGCCUCAUCAAUCCAAUGAUGGAUUCUCAGAAAGUUUAGCAUUUCGAAAACAGAGCAUGAACAAUGCACGGACAAGCAUGUCUCUAAGUAGUCUUCCAAGCUGUUAGAAACAGCAGCUAAACUUUGCUACCGUCUUCAGGAGAGAGACACACAUGAUAGUCAAAGGCUGAAAGCAUCUGAUCAGAGGUUUGCUCAUUCAGGUCUUGCCUAGGGCUAAACAAGAAGAGAACAGCUGCUAGAAAGCAAUGAGAGAGAGAGAGAGAGAGAACAUAUGACAUACGAGUGCUUAGUGAGGGAAUCUAGAAGUGUGUGUGUGUGUAUAUAUAUACAUACACACCAAUAUAUGUGUAUCUAUUUAUACAUGUAUGUCCACUCAUUCAUGUUUAUACAAAUAUAAGUGCAACGCACGAAACCCUCAGUCUACGGACCGAAUGCUUACUUAUAAAUAUAUAGGCAUAAUGCACACACACACACACACACACACACACACACAAUAUAUAUGUGCAUGUAUAAAUACGUGUGUAUAUAAAAUGCAAGCUCCAUAGUUAUGCAUGCAUAUGUAUAUAACACAGAUAAAGCUAACGAGACGGAGAGAGAGAGAGAGAGAGAGAGAGGAUAAGUGUUUAAUAGCAUGGGUCUGAUAUUAACAAGAGAAAAAAAAGACCACCACCAGCACAUUACCAACAAAUUAUAUCACACUGUGUAGCGAAGAAAUUGUAUUAAUAAGAUAAUUACAAAAUUAAUAAGUUCUUCAUACAAAAUGAUUUGGUUAUUUUUUGUAAAACGUUUUUCUCCGGGGACAAUUCUGAUAUCAGAAGACGAACCUCAAACGUUCGGGUGUGUUCAAUGGAUGUGUUAUAUACACAAUUCGUUUCAUCAAUACGAUUGUGUAUAUAAAUAUAAUAUGAGGUGGGGGGAAAUAUAUAUAUAUAUAUAUUUAUGUAUAUAUAUAGGGUGGGUGGGUUAAUGUGUACCCAGAGAGACGGGUAUACACAUACAGAGAUUGACAUAUAUCUGAUCACCAACCAAACUCAAUAAUAGUCAUACAUAACAUCUAGCAACAUAAAUAAAUACAUCAGCGGUUAGGAUAAACAAAACUACAAUGUGAUGUGGGCAACCAGAGCAUAUAUAUAUAUAUAUCUCCACAUAUACAUAUAUACAUGUUCAUGAACACAUAUAUACAUAAAUCAUAAACACACACAUACGAACAUAUAAACAUACUUUUCUAUUUAGUCGAUAGAAGGUGACGGACAGGCGGAAUCGUGAGCACGCCGGACGAAAUGUUUGCGACUUUUCUUCCGGCUUCACGUCCUCACCCAAUAUCGAUUUCGCCUUUUUACCCAUUUCGGAGUCUAGCCCUAGGGGUUGGUGUAAUCGUCUGCCCCCUCCCCCCCACACCACCACCACCUUUAUCAAAAUUCCAGGCAUUAUGAAUAUAGUCGGAACGAUUAUCAAUCGGCAUAAAGUUGUAGUAGUGACUCAGGGGGCCGAUAGUUUCGUGCACUGAUACUCAACAAAUAUAAUUGCCAAAGUACGAAACUCUCGAGCACUGAGUUACUAACUUCUACCAAUUAAUAACAAAUAAUAAAUAUGAAACACUAACAUUUUGUUUUAUUUUCUUGCUUGUAUCAACAGAGCCACUAUAAACAAACAAUCUACGUAUUGAAAUAAAUACACUUGCUUUUUCGGGACAAAUAUGUACAAACUUAAUUUGAAUAUUAAAAGAAAACAAAUCUAAUGUAUGUGUGUAUGUAUAUAUAUAUAUAUAUAUAUAUAUGCUCACACAAGGUACAGGAUUUAUGCACGAGAUCUCUGUAUUGUAUUAUAUAUAGUUCAUGUUGUUAGGCGCCAGAUCAGGUUAAUUCAAAGGAAGUUUAGUUGAGAUUAGAAACUCGUAGUUUAGUCUGACAUAAUACACCAAGGACUAUAUUAUGAAAUGUAUCGCUGAUUAUUAAUAUUUAUUUUGUUAAACUAGGCAGGGCGUGAUUUGAGGGACACCUGGCUGUUAUUUCUAGCAUUUAAAGAAAAACUACGAUGUAAACUAUUAGUGGAUAACUGAUUGUAUAUGAUCAGUGUGUGUAAUGUAUUAUAACCAGUAGUGCGUGUGUGCCAUAUAUAUAUAUAUAUAUAUAUGAGUUUUGUACACAUGCAUUUAAUGAACAUCUAUACAUACAUAGGUGAAGUAUUUAAUAUGCUUAUAUACAUACACACGCGCGUACCCAAGUAGUUAGUCUCUAUAUGUGAAGUAAUUGAAAAGCAGUUUAUGACUUGAUUUAUAGACCGCUCUAGCAACUAGUUUAAAAAUUGACAUCAAUCUUAUUUUGUGAGAAUGAAAGAAACCUUUUGGGCAUUAGCAUAAUAACUACUACUACUAUUAUUAUUAGUGUUUCACUAAAGUAAGUACCAGUGACACAGUGGAGUCAAUUUAAUCGACUGGUUUCCGUCCCCAAAAGUUCAGGCCUUGUGCCUAUAGUAAAAAAGGAUUAUUGUUAAGGCGGGCGAGCUGGCAGAAUCGUUAGCACGCCGGACGAAAUGCUUAGCGCUAUUUCGCCCGUUGCUAUGUUCCGAGUUCAAAUUCCGCCGAGGUCGACCUUUGCCUUUUCAUCCUUUAGGGGUCGAUUAAAUAAGUACACCUGUGUGAGGUGGGGGUCGAUGUAAUAGACUCGUCCCCUCCCUCACAAUCGCUAUCCAUGUUGCAAAAUUUGAAACCGUUACUGGCAGAAACGUUAGCAAGCCGGGCGAAAUGCUUAGCGGUGUUUCGUCUGCCGUUACGUUAGGAGUUCAAAUUCCGCUGAGGUCGACUUUGCCUUUCGUCCUUUUAGGAUCAAUGAAAUAAGUAGCAGUUGCGUACUGGGGUCGAUGUAAUCGACAAGUCCCGUCCCCCAAAUUUCAGGUCUUGUGCCUAUGGUAGAAAGGAUUAUUAUUAUUAAGGUGCUGAGCCGGAAGAACCAUUAGUAUGCCGGACAUAAUGCAUAGCAGAAAUUCAUCUGUCUUCAUGAAGCGAGUUCAGAUUCCACUGAAGUCGACUUUACCUUAAAAAUAAGUACCAGUUGACAACUGGAGUCGAUGUCAUCGACCUAGCACCCUCCACCAAAAUUCAAAAGGAUCGUCAUUAUUUUUUGGUAAGAGAAAUGUUAGAAAUGAGCUCCAACAGAUCAUGCACACACAUUUACAUGCCUAUAAUAUACAGACAUAUGUGUAUAUAUACAUAUAUAGACAUAACAUAUAUAUAGCAAUACACAUAUAACAUGCACAUAUAUAGAAAUACACACAUAUAUAUAUAUAUAUAUAUAUAUAUAUAUAUACACAUACAAACAUGCAUUUAAACAUAUACCCACACAUAUAGUGUGUGUAUAUAUAAUAGUGUACAUAGAUGAAUGGAUAUAGAUAGAUAGAUAGAUAGAUAGAUAGAUAGAUAGAUAGAUAGAUAGAUAGAUAGAUAGAUAGAUAGAAAGACAGACAGAUUGAUAGAUAGAUAGAUAGACAGACAGAUUGAUAGAUAGAUAGAAAGAAAGACAGACAGAUUGAUAGAUAGAAAGAAAGACAGACAGAGUGAUAGAUAGAUAGAAAGACAGAUAGAGUGAUAGAUAGAUAGAAAGACAGAUAGAGUGAUAGAUAGAUAGAUAGAUAGAGUGAUAGAUAGAUAGAUAGAUAGAUAGAUAGAUAGAUAGAUAGAUAGAUAGAUAGAUAGAAAGACAGAUAGAUAGAAAGAUAGACAGACAGAUAGAUAGAAAGAUUGAUAGAUAGAAAGACAGACAGAUUGAUUAGAUAGAUAGAAAGACAGAUUGAUUAGAUAGAUAGAAAGACAGACAGCUUGAUAGAUAGAAAGAGAGAUAGAUAGAUAGAAACAUACAUACAUAGACAGGCAAAUAGAUACAGAUAGAUGGAUAGACAGAUAGAAAACACAGAGUAAGGUAGUGUUAAGUUUUAACACACAUAAUACAUGAACCAGGCGUGAUUUCAAGAAAAACCCUUUCACGCCCCAACCCGCG